rnacentral:lncRNA from 10 species
CUAGGUAUGAGAGAACAGAAAUAGAGAUUUGGGUGGCUUUAGCUGUUUAAAAUAAGGUGACCAAACCUCCUUUCUGCCUGUUCCUGCUAUUUCAAACACCACUGUUCUCCACACAAUGAAAAUGGCCUUGUUCCUUAAGCCAAAGAUAGCUGAACUUUUGUUUGACAUUUUACACGGUGUCUUAUACCUGCCUGAAAGAAGGGGUGCAGGUCUUCACAGAAUGAGGAAAGGCCAGAGAUUUGGACUCCAAAGACCACAGCUUGGAUUCUAAGCUGUCACUUACCAGCCAAAAGGGAAUCUUGGCCCAGUCACUGAAGCCCCCUGAGUCUCAACUACCUCAUCUGUAAAGGGUCUCAUCAGGCCCACAUUAGAUUAUCUACUCGACCAUCAGUUCAAGCUCUAAGGUAAAGAUGUAGAGCAACUGGAACUUUCAUACACUGCUGCAACCACUUUGGAGACUAUCAGCAUUUUCCACUAAAGCUGAACAUUAUGGUCUAGAAAUUGCACUCCUGAGCAGCUUCUGAGAGAUGGGGGACGUGGAGCAGUCCUGGGUCUCAUGGUCUGAAGGGAGAAGAAAUCCUGCCCAGGCAGACCACUGUGAAUGUCCAGUGGUGGAUGAAGUGUCAAUCAGCAGCAUUGGCUGGAUAUGAGUCCACUGUGGGCCAGCUCCUCUGCUGGUCCCUGGAUGCAAAGGAAUUCUGCCUCAAGAAGCCAGGCACAUCUUGUAUCAUCCAGGGGAAAUAAGCAUCAGCAUCAUUAUAAUACAAGAUGCAAGGCUUGUUUCCACCUGAACAGACUCUCCCUUAGCUAAGAGAACCAGACAAACUCCAUCUUGGCUCUUUCACUGGCAGCCCCUUCCUCAAGGACUUAACUUGUGCAAGCUGACUCCCAGCACAUCCAAGAAUGCAAUUAACUGAUAAGAUACUGUGGCAAGCUAUAUCCACAGUCCCCAAGAAUUCAUCUGUUUGAUAACGCCCAAAGCCCUGCAUCUAUAACCUUGUAAUAGUCUUAAAGCCCCUGCAUCUGGAACUGUUUACUUUCCUGUAACCAUUUAUCCUUUUAACUUUUUGACUACUUAACUUCUGUAAAAUUGUUUUAACUAGACGACCCCCCCUUUCUAAACCAAGGUAUAAAAGUUAAUCAAGCCCCUUCCUCGGGGCCGAGAGAAUUUUGAGCGUUAGCCGUCUCUCGGUCGCCGGCUAAUAAAGGACUCUUAAUUCAUCUCAAAGUGUGGCGUUUUUUU